GGCAGGUGACUUACGGGUGGCCUGCGACGUUCUGGCACCUGAAAUCCCAAAUUCUGACAAAAUUGGGAAGCGCAACUCGAGGAGGAAUCGCUUCUGCUGCGAAAGCGAAAGGAAAAAGCGACGGUCUCUUCGCAUUGAUUGGACUUGUUAAAGAGGGAGGUUGUUUUGGUAACGGUCGCAGACCCGGAGACCCCAGGAGAAGUGGGGAGUAUAUGAUUUAGGCUCAACGCUGCAAAAUGCGGGAAGAGGGGAAAAAACCCUCGGGCGCUGCACGCUCAGGUGGGGAAGGGGGCUCGGCUCUGGGUCUGAUGGGCUGGGUGGGGGAGUCCUUGGAAAGCCGGAGGCACUGCUGCCUGGCGCGGGGGAUUCCCCCGCUUUGUUAACGCUGCGCUCCGUUAUGCGGCUGCGCCUUUUUAUCGCCAAGUCGGAACAAGGGAAAGGCGAAAACGUUGUACAAAGCUCCCUCAAGCGAGCAAUUCUUUUCCUGGCAGGCGCGUUAACCACCGCGCUAUCGGUUCCAGGAAUAAACAAAAUUAUGUGUGGGGGCGGUGGCGGGGAGGGGCUGGACGCAGUUGCUCAGAAAGGACAGGCAGGUUACCUUUUUAUUUUUCGGACGAAGAGCUGCAAGGUUUUGAGGUCUAACAAAGAUUGGAAGGGCGGCCUGGAUAGUAGGUUUAAUCUCAGUGGGCAAAGAAGUCUCCUUUGCAAAGGUGAGCCGUCCAGAGUCAGCUGAGAUGGGCAGCUAUAGAAAUCAAAUAAAUAACAACAAAAAUAAAACA
rnacentral:lncRNA from 1 species